rnacentral:sRNA from 1 species
CAAUGAAUGUGACUCGUAUCACUUCAAACCUGGUCGCUCAGUGGGUAUCAUCAGGGGAGUUAAACCCUCGCUGCCAGACGGCGAGGGUUUUCUUUUGG